UCCCUGGUAGCUCAGAUGGUAAAGCGUCUGCCUACAAUGCAGGAGAUCCAGGUUCGAUCCCUGGGUCGGGAA
rnacentral:tRNA from 1 species